rnacentral:lncRNA from 1 species
UAGUCUCAUGAUGUUUGAUGCAUAUAGCUAUUGUUUGAAGUGCCUGUCUCCUUCCAAACAAUUGGCAUUUGUAUUACAAGCAAAAGGAAUUGGGAAAGCUUUUGGCGGUUAGCAUCACACAUCCAAAUUAGCCAGAGGUCGGGUUUCUGUCCUUCUCAAGGCAUAAUAUUGAAAAUGCUCGAUAAAUAAGCAAUUUAAUUAGAGAGUCGGGAUCGAAAUGCAAUUCUUGUAAAGGUAAAAUACAUGUCAAAAUUAUCACAGAAUCAUCACUGUAAUGGUACAUUGUACAUU